rnacentral:tRNA from 1 species
GGAGAGGUGUCGGAGUGGACGAUCGAGGCGGUCUCGAAAACCGUUGGGCACUCACGUGUCCCGUGGGUUCGAAUCCCACCCUCUCCGCCA